UAAGAAAGUUAAAGCACACAGGUGAUGGUU
rnacentral:piRNA from 1 species